AGUGAACGCUGGCGGUAGGCCUAACACAUGCAAGUCGAACGGCAGCACAGUAAGAGCUUGCUCUUACGGGUGGCGAGUGGCGGACGGGUGAGGAAUACAUCGGAAUCUACUUUUUCGUGGGGGAUAACGUAGGGAAACUUACGCUAAUACCUCAUACGACCUACGGGUGAAAGCAGGGGAGCUUCGGACCUUGCGCGAUUGAAUGAGCCGAUGUCGGAUUAGCUAGUUGGCUGGGUAAAGGCCCACCAAGGCGACGAUCCGUAGCUGGUCUGAGAGGAUGAUCAGCCACACUGGAACUGAGACACGGUCCAGACUCCUACGGGAGGCAGCAGUGGGGAAUAUUGGACAAUGGGCGCAAGCCUGAUCCAGCCAUACCGCGUGGGUGAAGAAGGCCUUCGGGUUGUAAAGCCCUUUUGUUGGGAAAGAAAAGCAGCAGGUUAAUACCCCGCUGUUCUGACGGUACCCAAAGAAUAAGCACCGGCUAACUUCGUG
rnacentral:rRNA from 1 species